rnacentral:lncRNA from 1 species
GGAGAGAGAGAGAGAUCAAACACGUAGCUACUGGUACAUACCCUUAGCCCCGAGGAUGAACUACUCCCUCCUCGCCACGGCCUUUCUCGGGAUGAUUAAGAUGGCCACUGAUUAUGAUUUCCCCCUCCAUUAGAGUACCGAAAAUGCUCUAUAUAGGUUUUCCUUUGAUACAGAGAGUUGCGGCAGUGGAGCAGAAGUUGUAGGUUAACUUUCAGGGAUUUCUAGAUUUAUAGGAAAUUUCAGCAUUGGAAUCACGCUAGUUAGAGCCACAUGGGUCAUAGAAGGUAACACGGAUCCCUCUUGGCUUUUGGCCCACUGGUUUUCCCCUCCGGGGGUUCUUCGCUCCGGUAUUUCUUAUUUUCUCCAUAAAAAAAUCAUAAGUAAGUUUUGGGCCAUUCCGAGAACUUUUAUUUUUUGUACAAAAACAGUACCACGGUAAUUGUGCUAAAAACAACGUCACUACGGGUUAGCUCUAAAUAAAUCAUGUAAAGUGCAUCAAAAUCAUAUAAAAGUAUUAUAAACACAUGCAAAUAUGGCAUGAAUGCUUCAUAAAUUAUCAAUACAUUGGAGAUGUAUCAUUAACAAGCUUAGCAUUAGCCAUUGAUACCAUCCAUGCAAAAUAAUGAAAGAGGAGAGGAGAUUCACAUACAAAUAUACUAUCUUGGUCAACUUUUAUGAUUGUGAACCCCCGUAAAAUAU